rnacentral:lncRNA from 1 species
AGUACCUGGCACAACGAAUUGUCAAGCAAAUGGCAAAUCUUCUCUGCAGAGGGGAACUGAGACCCAGUACUCACAAUCCAUUCUGGAGUCUCCUCAUAAUCCUGAAGAGGGAAGCCCAGAGGAAAUCAUCUGGUGAGCUUAUCUCAUUCUUCUAAAAAAGCGAUGAGGAUUGGUUUGAGGAGAGCUGCAGUGGGAGGCUGAGAGUCAAAGCCACACUAUUUCUGGAGGCUUCGUCCUUUUUCCUGGGAUCAGACUCUACUUUUGUGCCAUCAUCCACCUUUGGGGAGGUCCAUGAAGGUCAUCUGCUUUUGGGGGUGCAUUUGGGACCAGGCAGGAAGCUGCACUUCCCAACUUACCCAAACACAGCUUCUCAACGGGGGCUUCCAAGUUGGGGGAAGGGCUGUGCAUGAAGCAGUCUGUGUGUGGGUGUUGGGGAGCUGAAGGGACAUCCCCAGCUGGGCCAGGGAACUCUGGUCUCUCCUUGUUUGUCUCCUACAACUGUGGCAACAACACAAAGCCUCUCAGUAUGUGCAUAUUGCUUUGUAGUAUCUCUUAGAGAGACAAGAUAAUGACUAUUUUUUCUUAGUUUAUCCAUGAAGUUAACAUAUAAUACAUUAAUUGCAUUUAGGAGCAUUUAUUCAACCAAGUGUAACUAGUAAUUUCAAAAAAUGCCCAAUAAUACUGAUGUUACAGCACACUUGGAGUGCUUUGCUCCAGAAAUACCAAGCAUUUCCUCCGUUUGGCACUGGGGAGAAUCCUGGCACUUUGCUUCAGAAACAAAUCUCUUUAAUUCCUGCGGACUCUGCAUCAAGCCUGCAUUGCUCUUUGUUUUUUCCAAGGCUAGGACCUGGGCUGUUUCCCUUCUUUCAUCUUCAGAUCACUUUAGCCACCCACCAAUGUGAUUUCUGAAAGCACUGUGUGAAAAUUUGAGAAUCAUGUUGUGUAAACCAGUCUCUGUUUCAUGGUAAACCUCUCUUCCCUCCACCCUCACAAAGCCCAGAGCCAGGGACAAAAAGGAAUGGGAAAGUGGAUUUGCCUUCCCCAAGACUUCCCAGCCAGGGCACAGGAAGAUAACAAUGCUACCACCCAGCAUCUCCUAAUCUCUCUAGAAAUGAAAAUGCUCUAUCCCCUUCGCACUGCAAGGAAGAGGUGUGAGGCUCUCAAUCCACACAGCUGGAUAUCAAAAUCUUAAAUGUUUUAAGAAAACAAGAUGAGUAAGGUUAGAGAAGUGAGUCAGAAAUGCCAAGUAGCAGAUGUGAAAAUGUGAGUAAACCACAGCCUCAGUGAACUAAAGGCUUUACAACAGAAGGUGCCAAAACUUUUUGAUUCUCACAUGUAUGUUUGUCCAUGUAUCUCUGUGCUGUGGCUUGAAUGUUUACGUCCGCUCCAAAAUUUACGUGGAAAUUUAAUCCCCAAUGCAACAGUAUUAAGAGGUAGGGCCUUUAGGAGGUGAUUAGUCUAUGAAGGCUCCUCCCUCACCAAUGGCAUUAGCACCUUAUAAAAGCAUUAAAGGAAAAUAGCUAGGCCCUUUGUGCUCUUGUGCCCUUCCACUAUGAGAGGACACAGUGUUCGUCUUCUCUGGAAGAGACAGCAUUUAAGGCACCAUCUUCGAAGUAAAGACUGGGCCCUCACCAGACACUGAACCUGCUGGCAUUUGGAUUUUGAACUUCCCAGCCUCCAUAACUGUCUAACCAUAAAAUCAUCAAUACUGAGAAAUUAAAAGGGGAACAUGUCAGGCCUCACUCUUUCUGUAUUGGAUUUCAAGAGUAUUGUCCUUGAGGGAAAGCCAUCUCCUUCUUGACACCAUGGCUACCCUUAGACCCCUCGUGAAGCCCAAGAUCAUCUAAGAUGGACCAAGAAGUUUAUCCUUCACCAGUCAGACUGACAUAUCAAAAUUAGAUGUACGCAUAUAGCAGCAACCCAGAGGCAUUGACAACAGGGUGGGGAGAAAAAUCAAAGGCGAGACCUUGAUCCCCAACAUUGGUUGUGGGAGCAAAAAGAAGCAAAACACAUGCUCCCCAGUGGCUUCCAAAAAUUCCUGUUCCACGAUGUCAAAGAGCUGGAAGUGCUGCUGAUGUGCAACAAAUCUUACUGUGCUGAGAUUGCUCAACAUGCUUCUCCAAGAACGGUUAAAGCCACUGUGGAGAGAGUAACCCGACAGCCCAGCAGAGUCACUAGUCCCAAUGCCAGGCUGCACAGCAAGAAAAAUUAAUAGACAGCUCAUGUACACAUUUUAUUUGUGUUAAAUAAAACCAUAAAUACUCUGUCAUCUGGCAUCCUCCCCCUUAAAAACAUACAAAAAAUACAAAAACAAAAACCAAGAAAAUCUAAAUAAAAGAAUAAAAUAUUUGUGGGUGCUUUAUACAUGUUGCUCAUUUAGUUCUCACACCAGUCCUAUGAGAUGGUGUGGCAAAAACCAUCAGUGUUCUCCCAAAUCCAUGUGUUUCAUGGCAUUUCCAGACUCCUUUGCAGUCAGAUUGGUCAUAUAAAAGACUUCCGACAGAUGAAAUGUAGACAUGAGUUAUGCACCCCCUUCC